rnacentral:sRNA from 1 species
CUAUGAACAACAGAGGACAUGGACACAAUCAAGAA